rnacentral:rRNA from 1 species
UGACGGAGCAACGCCGCGUGAGUGAUGAAGGUUUUCGGAUCGUAAAGCUCUGUUGUUAGGGAAGAACAAGUACCGUUCGAAUAGGGCGGUACCUUGACGGUACCUAACCCAGAAAGCCACGGCUAACUACGUGCCAGCAGCCGCGGUAAUACGUAGGUGGCAAGCGUUGUCCGGGAAUUAUUGGGCGUAAAGGGCUCGCAGGCGGUUUCUUAAGUCUGAUGUGAAAGCCCCCGGCUCAACCGGGGAGGGUCAUUGGAAACUGGGGAACUUGAGUGCAGAAGAGGAGAGUGGAAUUCCACGUGUAGCGGUGAAAUGCGUAGAGAUGUGGAGGAACACCAGUGGCGAAGGCGACUCUCUGGUCUGUAACUGACGCUGAGGAGCGAAAGCGUGGGGAGCGAACAGGAUUAGAUACCCUGGUAGUCCACGCCGUAAACGAUGAGUGCUAAGUGUUAGGGGGUUUCCGCCCCUUAGUGCUGCAGCUAACGCAUUAAGCACUCCGCCUGGGGAGUACGGUCGCAAGACUGAAACUCAAAGGAAUUGACGGGGGCCCGCACAAGCGGUGGAGCAUGUGGUUUAAUUCGAAGCAACGCGAAGAACCUUACCAGGUCUUGACAUCCUCUGACAAUCCUAGAGAUAGGACGUCCCCUUCGGGGGCAGAGUGACAGGUGGUGCAUGGUUGUCGUCAGCUCGUGUCGUGAGAUGUUGGGUUAAGUCCCGCAACGAGCGCAACCCUUGAUCUUAGUUGCCAGCAUUCAGUUGGGCACUCUAAGGUGACUGCCGGUGACAAACCGGAGGAAGGUGGGGAUGACGUCAAAUCAUCAUGCCCCUUAUGACCUGGGCUACACACGUGCUACAAUGGACAGAACAAAGGGCAGCGAAACCGCGAGGUUAAGCCAAUCCCACAAAUCUGUUCUCAGUUCGGAUCGCAGUCUGCAACUCGACUGCGUGAAGCUG